GGAGGAUAACCAAACUCUGAUUUAACGACGUUUCUUCUGAGUGGUACAAGCAAAUAAUCAAAACUUUUAACAACGGAUCUCUUGGUUCUGGCAUCGAUGAAGAACGCAGCGAAAUGCGAUAAGUAAUGUGAAUUGCAGAAUUCAGUGAAUCAUCGAAUCUU
rnacentral:rRNA from 1 species